GAUGAAGAACGCAGCGAAAUGCGAUAAGUAAUGUGAAUUGCAGAAUUCAGUGAAUCAUCGAAUCUUUGAACGCGCCUUGCACCCUUUGGCUAUUCCGAAGGGUAUGCCUGUUUGAGUAUCAUGAACACCUCAACUCUCAUGGUUUGCCAUGAUGAGCUUGGACUUUGGGGGUCUUGCUGGCCUGUGGUCAGCUCCUCUCAAAUGGAUUAGCUUGCCAGUGUUUGGUGGCAUCACAGGUGUGAUAACUAUCUACGCUUGUGGUUUUCCACCAGGUAACCUUCAGCAAUGGGGGUUCGCUGGGGCUCAUAAAUGUCUCUCCUCAGUGAGGACAGCUCUUUGAACGUUUGAUCUCAAAUCAGGUAGGACUACCCGCUGAACUUAAGCAUAUCAAUAAGCGGAGGA
rnacentral:misc_RNA from 1 species